GACGAACGCUGGCGGCGUGCCUAAUACAUGCAAGUAGAACGCAGUUGCGAACGGGUGAGUAACGCGUAGGUAACUGCCUCAUAGCGGGGGAUAACUAUUGGAAACGAUAGCUAAUACCGCAUACUGUGAGAUGGACCUGCGUUGUAUUAGCUAGUUGGUGAGGUAAAGGCUCACCAAGGCGCCGAUACAUAGCCGACCUGAGCGGGUGGUUGGCCACACUGGGACGGAGACCCGCCCCAGCGGCCUACGGGAGGCAGCAGUAGGGAAUCGUCGGCAAUGGACGGAAGUCUGACCGAGCAACGCGGAGUGAGGGAGGAAGGUUUUCGGGUCGGAAAGCUCGGUUGUUAGAGAAGCGGUAGCUAACCAGAAAGGGACGGCUAACUACGUGCCAGCAGCCGCGGUAAUUC
rnacentral:rRNA from 1 species